CUCACGCCUGUAAUCCCAGCACUUUGGGAGGCCCAGGCAGGCGGAUCCCCAGGUCAGGAGAUCGAGACCAUCCUGGCUAACAUGGUGAAACCCAGUCUCUACUAAAAACACAAAAAAAUUUGCCAGGCGUGGUGGCGGGCGCCUGUUGUCCCAGCUACUCGGGAGGCAGAGGCAGGAGAAUGGCAUGAACCCGGGAGGCGGAGCUUGCAGUGAGCCGAGAUCACACCACUGCACUCCAGCCUGGGCCAGACUCUGUCCCAAAAAGAAAGAAAGAAAGAAAAUUAAAGUGCCUAACAAACAUUUUUGUAGAAAUUAAAAAUACUUGUAGAUUUUCAGAGAAUGUCUCUCAAAUACUUCAAGUUACCUUCUUCUGAUCGUAGAUACAUAUUUUUCUAUAUUGCUAUAAUAGAGUUUUGGCUGUCCUUUGUGGCCAGCUCCUUCAUUUCUAUCUUAUUUAGUUGUGCAUUAUUUAUAUUACGUAUUUUACAUUUUAAAACUUGUAGACCAUGCAAUGUAACUUUCAAACAAUUGAAAAACCUUUUUCUAUGUUAGACUCUCUGCUUAAUCAGUAGUCAGUUUAUUUUCACCCUUCAAAAACAUUUUAACUGCCUGAAAAUCAAAGGGACAGUUCAAGUGAGUAUUCUGAGCUGGUUCUCUCCACUAUCAAUCUAUUCAAAUUCACACAGGUUAUCUUAUAAAGAAAGUGCACUUGAACAACAUUGUCACAGCAAUGUAAAACAGGUAUAAUAUAAUAAAGAUGAGACACUGCCUUCUAGGAAAAGAGUUAAUUUUUCUUAUUCUGUGUAUGUGAGUAUGUGGCAGCUGUAAGGUUGUCAAUAAAGACUAAAGUUAGAGAGGGAGAGAGAACACUUUACAUUAGUAAUGCAGCGUAGUUCCUAUGCAGCCUUCUUGUUUGUCAAACAUCUCUUGAAUUGUUUUGUCAAGUAUUAUGUUGCUGUAUCCAUCACU
rnacentral:lncRNA from 1 species